AGUUAGUUGCAAUUGUCACAAGAGAUAUAUAUAUAUAUAUAGAGAGAGAGAGAGAUAGAGUUGAGCUAUGAUACUUUUACAAGUAUCACCAUCAUGGUGCUAUUAGGUUUUAAGCCAUUUGAUCUACUUUUGAUUAUUAAUAGCCCUUGGAUUAAACACUAUUCCACCUACCACCACCUACCACCACCUAUCACCAUCAUCUCAACCUCACAUCUCUCCAUCCAAGGACUAAAAACACACAAGUAUCACCCCCAUGAUACUUUUACAAGUAUUCUAGCCCUACUCAUAUAUAUAUAUAUAUAUAUAUAUAGUGAACUAGGCUAAUAUACUAUUAAUAGCACCAAGUAUUGGUGCUACCAAGUUUUUGACCAUUGGAUUAAGAUAUGUGCGGUUAGGAUGAUGUGGGCCCCUUGGGUUGAGUGGGUGGUUGGUUGAAUAGUAUGAUCUAACGGGUGAAAAUGAUCAAAAGGGUAGAUCUAACGGCGGAAAAUUUGGUAGCACCAAGUGCUUCAUGCUAUUAAUAGCAUAGUAGCCGG
rnacentral:lncRNA from 1 species